rnacentral:rRNA from 1 species
GACGAACGCUGGCGGCGUGCUUAACACAUGCAAGUCGAACGGAAAGGCCCUGCUUUUGUGGGGUGCUCGAGUGGCGAACGGGUGAGUAACACGUGAGUAACCUGCCCUUGACUUUGGGAUAACUUCAGGAAACUGGGGCUAAUACCGGAUAGGAGCUCCUGCUGCAUGGUGGGGGUUGGAAAGUUUCGGCGGUUGGGGAUGGACUCGCGGCUUAUCAGCUUGUUGGUGGGGUAGUGGCUUACCAAGGCUUUGACGGGUAGCCGGCCUGAGAGGGUGACCGGCCACAUUGGGACUGAGAUACGGCCCAGACUGCUACGGGAGGCAGCAGUGGGGAAUAUUGCACAAUGGGCGGAAGCCUGAUGCAGCAACGCCGCGUGCGGGAGGACGGCCUUCGGGUUGUAAACCGCUUUCGCCUGUGACGAAGCGUGAGUGACGGUAAUGGGUAAAGAAGCACCGGCUAACUACGUG